UACAGAGGUCUCGAGCGUUAGGCGGAAUCACUGGGCUUAAAGCGUGUGUAGGCGGAUCGGUAAGUACCUUGUGAAAUCCCACAGCUUAACUGUGGAACUGCUUGGUAUACUGCCGGUCUUGAGCCAGCUAGGGGCUACCGGAACAAAUGGUGGAGCGGUGAAAUGCGUAGAUAUCAUUUGGAACGCCAAUGGUGAAAACAGGUAGCUGGGGCUGUGCUGACGCUGAGACACGAAAGCCAGGGGAGCGAACGGG
rnacentral:rRNA from 1 species